rnacentral:piRNA from 1 species
ACAAGGGUAGCAGUCGUGGACGUU